rnacentral:lncRNA from 1 species
GCGGGCCGCGCGCGGCGGGCGGGGAGAGCGGGCGCGGGGCCGCGGUCAACACUGAGCGCCGCGCCGUGGGCCGAGUGGGGCGGGGAGACCCAGCCCUCGGCGCGCACGGAGCCUGGCCGGUGCUGCAGCGCCGCCGAGUGCGGCCUCGGGGGCGGCGGCCGCGGGAGGGACCCGGAGAGCUGCUUCCCCUAGUCAGGCCGCGGCGUGGGAGGGCGAGACCCCGAGCAAACUUUCUAGCGGCUUCGGCCCGAGGGUGGUGACGCCCGGGGCUGGUCGCGGCGGCUGCGGCAGCGGGCUCCAUCCCCUGGCAAAUCCCCUUCCCGGGAGCAAGUGCCUUCAGCUGGGAGUGUCUGGAGCCCUGGCCACCAGCGGAGCUGCAUCCUGUGGCCCUAUAACACUCUUCUCCAAAAGGACCUGCCAGAGACUGGGAGUGUUGACUGCUGCAAGGACCAAGGUGGGAUAGUAACAUCUUUUUGAGGGAAGAAUUGGCUUCCUUUC